AUUAUUCUAAAAUGCAAAAUUUAAAUUCUUUUGAGAGUAAUUUUAAGUUAAGAAACAUGAUACCUCUCAGAAUCCAGAAAGUGAACUGUUUGGAGAAGGCACCAUGAAGAUGCCUCCACAGACCCACACACUGUACCAGAAGAUCCAGAGUGAACUUUGGGAUGUGGUGAAUCUGAACUGGAUGGGGUUUGUGGAAAGGAAACUAGACUAAUAGUUUGUGUGGGGGAAGGGCCAACUGGGAGUGGCAGUUGGGUCUUGUGACUAGUACUUCCUGCCUGCCGGGUGGGACUUGCUUCCGGGUGUUGGAGGAGAGUGGAGCUUGUUCAGCCCAGUCUGGAGUGGCAUGCUCUUCUUGGUUCAGCCCAAAGACACAGGCUUCUGAAGAAUUCUUGCUUGGGAGUUGCAUCACCAAGUUGACCAAUUCAUUCAUUCAUAG
rnacentral:lncRNA from 1 species